rnacentral:rRNA from 1 species
CCUACGGGUGGCAGCAGUGAGGAAUAUUGGUCAAUGGACGAAAGUCUGAACCAGCCAAGUCGCGUGAAGGAUGACUGCUCUAUGGGUUGUAAACUUCUUUUAUAUGGGAGUAAAAUGAUCUACGUGUGGGUUUUUGAAUGUAUCAUACGAAUAAGGAUCGGCUAACUCCGUGCCAGCAGCCGCGGUAAUACGGAGGAUUCGAGCGUUAUCCGGAUUUAUUGGGUUUAAAGGGUGCGUAGGUGGAUUGUUAAGUUAGUUGUGAAAGUCUGCGGCUCAACCGUAAAAUUGCAGUUGAAACUGGUAGUCUUGAGAACAGUAGAGGUAGGCGGAAUUCGUGGUGUAGCGGUGAAAUGCUUAGAGAUCACGAAGAACACCGAUUGCGAAGGCAGCUCACUGGACUGCAACUGACGCUGAGGCGCGAAAGUGUGGGGAUCAAACAGGAUUAGAUACCCUAGUAGUC